AGGACAGAGGAAAUGUUGCAAAUGGGUCCUCAGUGGACACCAGCUCUUUUGAAAGUUUCUUUUGCUGAUGUGAGACAUUCACUAAAGGCCAAAUAGUCAAGUUGAAUGGGAAUGUGGUAAGAAUCACCACCUCGGCACCUUUCAAAUCUUUGAUGGUGGCACUCAUCUCUGCAAUCCCUCCAGUAAUGAGAAUGUGGCUAACACAGGACACUGCAGAGCAUGGCUUCAGUCCAGCCUAAGCCUCAGUCUGAACUUCCAGGACCUCCCAUUUGCAUGAAG